CUCCUACGGGAGGCAGCAGUGGGGAAUAUUGGGCAAUGGGGAAACCCUGACCCAGCAAUGCCGCGUGGAGGAAGAAGCCUUUCGGGGUGUAAACUCCUUUUGCAGGGGAAGAAACUGACGGUACCCUGCGAAUAAGCUCCGGCUAACUCCGUGCCAGCAGCCGCGGUAAUA
rnacentral:rRNA from 1 species